CCUGUUUGCCUUUGUUGCCUGUGUGGAGAGCUUGUGCUUACUGGUGGGCACUGGCCUCUUUAACUCCCUCUUUCCAGCCACACUGUACUUUAUGAAGGGCUUCACCUUCCUUGUUGCUGCUGUCAUCCUUCUCAUCCCUUUUGGGAUAAUCGGGACCCUGCAAUGUUUAGACCAGAGGCGAAACCAAGGAGACUCCACAAUGUCCUGACCUGCAGGGAGGCAGAAUCCUGUCAGAGACUUAAAUCUAACCUGGUGUGAAUGUACGAGGUGAGCUGGUCUGACACAGAGACGUCCAUCAGGUCUUUCUGUGAUGCUGGGACACACUUUUGAUCUUUAACAGUGAUGGAACAGUUGACGAGUUCACCAAAGUGAUCAAGACCGAAGGAUGAGGAAUCAACCUCCUCACUGAAAUUACUGCGAAACCUUUACCAUCAUAACAAUGAGAUGGUUGAGGUUAUGGCUUCAUCUCAUCUUUGCUGGCCAUAAAAACUGAUGUAGUGUUUAAUAAUUUUAUAAAGACGUUCAUAGAAAAUAAACAAGUUUUGGUACAUUUUUUUGAUGUUGUUAUUUAAUCUUUUUUUUUU